CAAGAAAUGGCCUGACACAAGCGAGGGUUGUUAAGUCGCUGCUGCUACCCACGCCUAAAGACGGUGCGCUGAAUAAACCCGGAGAGUCACAAGUUACUUUGUGCUGAGGGGGAUUUCUGCGCUCAAGACCAAGGGUGAACACCGCCUCUCAGCCUGUCUCAGCAUGCCCACAUGUGACCAUUCACACAUAGCAGUGCAAGGUGCACGGUUGAGGAGCCCUGACCAUCCAGCAGAGGGCACCAGUGCCAAAAGAACCACAUAAUCCCUCACCCGCUCCAGCACUGAUGUCAAAGUGAGUUGUCUGCAGGGGUCACAAGACAUGAGACUGCUCUUUUGCGCUGCUGCUCAAUCAGCACGCCAUGUUUGAUGGCUUUACGAAGUGCCCUCUGCCUGUGUCGAGUGUUUCAUCCAGAAUCACAGCGGCUAGUGUUGCAUGAGGUCAAAGACUCUACAUAGAAACAAACACAUCAUGCCGUGACUAAUGUGUUGUGUUAGCGUCUGCUGAAAGGGCGGAGGGACAGCUCAUGUCUCUUUCAACACAGAGUCUGCCUCCUGAUGAACAAUCACGCUUCUUCUCUGUCUCUCUCUCUCUGUCUCUCUCUCACACACACACACACACACACACACUGACAAACACAGAAAUUAAAAAAGUGUUGCUAGUGCACAAACUUUGGAAGCAUUCCAGAAUAAUCUUUAUUACUGCAUGGUCUACUUUAUGUGACGUAUCUACAGGGCAUGAGAUGACAUAAUUGAUUCAUUAUUUAACUAAGCUACUAACUAAGCUAAGCUACCUCAUUUUGCCCUCUACUGCACCCCCAAUACAAAUUCUUGUUUGUAGUCAGUGUCUGAAAAACUACCAGCAGGAAAUGUGAAUACAAAUUUUAAAGAAUAAGAAAAAAACUAAAACAAUUAAAAUAUUUUCAGAUAUGCUUGGCAACAGCUUGCAUCAGGCCGUCACACCCUGGUAACACAAUCUGGAGGGUAAUGGUGUUGAAAUAAUACUGGAUGAAUCAUCAGUGAUUAAGACUGAUUAAGAAAUUCACAUUGCCAAGGACAUUGUCUUUAAAACCUGUGACCAGACCUCAUCUACAUCCUACAUCGAUUGUCUGUGUUUGAGUGUGUGUGCGUGUGUGCGUGUGCGUGUGCGUGUGUGUGUG